UUUUAACGAACCCUGGCGGCAGGCUUUAACACAUGCAAGUCGAGCGCACUCUUCGGAGUGAGCGGCAGACGGGUGAGUAACGCGUGGGAACGUGCCCUUUGGUUCGGAAUAGCCCUUGGAAACGAGGAGUAAUGCCGAAUGUGCCCUUCGGGGGAAAGAUUUAUCGCCAAAGGAUCGGCCCGCGUUAGAUUAGCUAGUUGGUGAGGUAAUGGCUCACCAAGGCGACGAUCUAUAGCUGGUCUGAGAGGAUGAUCAGCCACACUGGGACUGAGACACGGCCCAGACUCCUACGGGAGGCAGCACUGGGGAAUCUUGGACAAUGGGCGCAAGCCUGAUCCAGCCAUUCCGCGUGGAUGAUGAAGGCCCUAGGGUUGUAAAAUCCUUUCGGCAGGGAAGAUAAUGACGGUACCUGCUAAAGAAGCCCCGGCUAACUCCGUGCCAGCAGCCGCGGUAAUACGGAGGGGGCUAGCGUUGUUCGGAAUUACUGGGCGUAAAGCGCGCGUAGGCGGAUCGAUCAGUCAGAGGUGAAAUCCCGGAGCUCAACUUCGGAACUGCCUUUGAUACUGUCGAUCUGGAGUCCGGGAGAGGUGCAUGGAAUUCCGAGUGUAGAGGUGAAAUUCGUAAUAUUCCGAGGAACACCAAGAGGCGAAGGCGAUGCACUGGACCGGU
rnacentral:rRNA from 1 species